CCUGGAAAUGAACAUUUAACUACAAUAGAUAUGCUGUAUAUAUAUAUUAACAAAUAUCAAAUUCUAAACAAGCCUAUAUAUAAGUUCAAAGCAGAAUCGCUCAUUUCUGGUUGAUUCUUUUAUUUUUUAAACGAGGUGAAAAUCAUGAGUUUUAACACGGGUGAUAUUAUUCAUCAGCUUCUGUGCCAUCACGGCGAAGACUUUGACGUCAGAUCAUUUUUGCCCCAGUCACCUUUCCAACGAAUGCCUGGAUGAUUUUCAACUCCUUUACAAAAGCAUUCAAGUGUUGAUAUUGUUUUGCAAAAGCGAGCAUUUAAUUAGAUAUUGCUCGCUAAUUUCGAAACCAAUAGAAUUUAUGUACAACGGAAUUUAUGGUUGCUAAUUGUAAAUACUGUCCUAGUUCAAAACAAAAGUUGCUACGCAGAGAGAACGUUUUUUAGUUCGAAACAAUUUCUAAAACCACAAGCAAUAUCCUUCAGAGUACUUAACAAGGUAUCAACCAAUACCUUGUUACCUGGUACCAAUAUAAAUCAUCAACUAUUCAUUUUUCGCAUAUGAAAUAACAUAUUCGCCAAUUUGAGACGAAGGAGGUAGCACAGGGAACAUCGUUAAAUGCAGGAGAAUAGGAUUUAAUUGAUCAAGCGACGAACUUUGAAAGUGUAAGAAUAUCAUGUUGUAAAAAACAGAAAAAUAAGUGGAAA